UAAAUUUAUUGCUGAGGUUUCAUGCUCCAAAGAAUGUAACAAGAAAAAUGGGACUUAUGCUAAAGCUAACAAGCCUGCAUCUGCUGAUGAUGAAGAUAUGGACCCCACUCAAUACCUUGAGAACAGGCUCAAGUACUUUGCGGAUCAGAAGGCUGAAGGGAUUAACCCAUACCCGCACAACAUAAAUGAUAGUAGAGUUAUUACAACAAGUUUAAAUUGAAGAUAAUUGAUCCAAGUUUCAUAAGUGCUAAUUCAAUAUAGGGACUCUCUUCCCAGAAAUUAAAGUGUCAUUACAACAUGUUUAAAUUGAAGAUAAUUGAAACCCCUGCUUGCUUUAUUUUGAAUUGUUUUUUAACUGCUAUGCGAGCUGUUGGUCCAACUCUUCUCACGAUUUGGUAAUUUCUUUUGUUGAUUCAGGUUGGAAGAGUUUGCUUGCUGUAACAGAUUAGCUUACAAAGGAAUUAUAAUUAUUCAGUUUUUAGGAAUGAAUUAGGUGUUAAAGGAUCCCCAGUAACUGGCAACAUCCUCUUCCAUCUCCUCAAUAGUCUUCCCCUUUUAUAUUUUUUCCACUGUUUGAGCCAAUUUUAUUAUGAAUUUGUAUUGUUGCCUGCCUAAUUCAGUUGUAAUUUAAGCAUGCUUUAUUGAUUGGAUUUACUUCUUAUUUAUUUCUGAUUAAUCAAUUAAUUAAUAUGCAAAGUAGUGUAAAGAUCUCAAGUUCUAAAUCUGGUGUAAAGCUAUUUACUUGUUAUUUACUUGUUAUUUAUUUCUAGGAAUGGGAAGGUUUAUAAAGGUAUUCUUGUUGACGGUACUACUGUCACCAUAAAACGUGCACAGGAAGGCUCACUACAAGGUGAGAGGGAGUUUUUUACAGAAAUACAGUUGCUGUCGCGCCUGCAUCACUAAAACCUUGUGUCUCUAAUUGGAUAUUGUGAUGAAGAGGGUGAACAGAUGCUGGUUUACGAAUAUAUGCCGAACGGAACGCUAAGGGAUCACCUCUCGCCUUCUUCAAGAACACCUCUGAGUUUUACAAUAAAAAUAAAGAUUGCUCUAGGAUCCGCUAAAGGUCUUUUGUAUCUACACACAGAAGCUGAUCCUCCAAUAUUCCAUAGAGAUGUCAUGGCCAGUAAUAUACUAUUGGACUCUAAGUUCAAUGCAAAAGUUGCUGAUUUUGGACUUUCGUGACUCGCCCCGGUGCCAGAUCUCGAAGGAGUUGUGCCUGGUCAUGUAUCUACAAUGAUAAAAGGGACCUAGUAAGGCUUUUGUACAUUGUGUGCAUUAAGAAAUGAAAUGGACAAAGCAACCUGAUUAAGGUUUUUUGUUUCCCAAGAAAAGUGACUAAUGAGUUCAAAUAAAGAUUAUUUUUAUGGAUUUGUUUUGCUUUGUCUUUGAAGAUGAAUUUGUUUUUAAUGAAGGUGUUUUCUAUUUUUAUGUCAAAUUCUUGUACUCAUAACUGUCAUGAUAAAUUCAGCUAUAGACCUUUG